UCACUACUACUGGUAGCAAUGUCAUCAAUAUACUCAAUACUAAUUUUUCUUUUGGAAGACAUCAUAAUGGGUGAUUUUAUAAUACUUCUUACAUAAGAUGUAACGUCAAAUGCGAAUGAGAAGAAACUGAACGUCGCGUCUCUGGAAUUUCUCUGUGACCUAUUAUAUUCAUGUAGGAUUGGAAAAAAUGUAAGCAAGAAACAUGAAGAUAUGAAUAUUCGAAAACGAUCGUUGCUAAAUAUAUACGUAGUUCGAAUAAGUAAAGUUAUUUUUCGGUUCGGUAGAGAUAUAAGAAAUAUCGUCCUUUAUUACACAGUAACAGAGUAUAAGGGUGAAGAGGGAAAAGAAUCAAGGUAGAGAAUAAGAAUAUCAGAGUAAGAAAGUGUUAAACUAGAGUUACGAAAAAUAUUCCUACAUUCAUAUUUGGAACGGCCGCCCAAACAAUAUUCUGAAAUGUUUUGUUUUUUUCGCCCGGUAGACUUACGACGCCUCUGAGGCGUCUUAUUCGUUUUUGGUCCGAUAACCUUGUGACGCCUCUGAGGCGUCUUUGUAAGCUAAAGGGUUAAUAAGUAUCGAUGGUUCGCCAUUGUCUCCUAAACCAUGGCAUACUUAAUGCAGUGUUCAUUUUAUCGGUGGCAAUAAAUCAGAUGACGAAAACAGUCCUAGUUACGUCCCACAAAGUUUCCCUACAAUCGAUUCUACAAACAAGGUUGACAAACAUGGGACUUCAACUAGGCAUCAAUGUUUCAUGGCACGCAGAAAGAUAAAACUUGAAGUUACCAUACUACAGCCAAAAAUACAGAUAAUUGAAAAUGUUAAUGAAACAAAUUCAGAUGAAUCUUUACUGGUCGAUGAAGAAUACGAAGUAAAUGUGCCAUUCGAUACUAAAUAUAUAGAAUCCACAUCUACUUAUUAUAGAUAUAUUGAUAAUAAUUACUGCGAUGCUGGAAUCAAAGUGGAACUACCAACAAAUCCAAAUAAUGUAGUAAAUAGUACUUGCCAAAUAAAGGAUCUGUGUUGCGGUGAAGAAACGAAAAAUUAUAUAAAAGAAAUAAAAUCACAGUUAACUUUUAAGAAAGAUCAUAUGAAGGAUUAUAAUAAAGCUCAAAAAUAAUAAAACAAACAAUUGUGGUUCGGAUGUAAUUGUAAAAGAACAAUUAAGCUAGGAUUAUAAAAAACGAUUGAAGUAUGAAGAUGAUAUCUCGGAUAUAAACGAAAAGA
rnacentral:lncRNA from 1 species